CGCUCCCGCCGCCGGGCCGCCAGCGCGCGGCGGGCCGUUGGGAGGCGGGAAAGGGUCGCCCGGGGCCGAGCAGACGGCAGGUCAAAUUCGGAUAUCUUGAAGCAAAAUCUUCAGUCUGUCAAGGGGGAAUGUGAUGUCUGGAAAGGCUGCUGCAGAAGAGCUGGCAGACCAGAGGAACAGCCUGAGCAGAAAGCCUCAUACUUCUGCUGCAUACAAGCUCCUGUUAACUGUUCAGGUCCUGAAGAAAGCACAAAACCCAGAAAUCCUAAAAUGACCAAUAUGCAAAGUAAAAGCAGACUUUGUGAUAUACCUGGUGGCCAUUUUUGAUGUCAGCGUGUGGCCCUCAACCUAUUCCUCAUCCUGAGCUUUGCCUUCAGCACAGAAGUUUCAAAAUUGCCUUCUCCCCUGUCGCCACUGAAGAAAAGAGGACCUUUGCAAAUGCUGCCUCUGGUUGUGAUCGGCAAGCUGAGCAUGUUCAAAUUAAGGGAAGUAUUGCUCUGAAUGAAUUAUCAUGAAACAUUUGUGCUCGUUCAUCGUGUCACUUGCAGAAUAUGUUUUACAUAGUUUUUACAUAAAAUAGUGUGAGACAUAAAGGGGCCUUGGACAGCAGCUAAGACAUGGGCCUUCUCUCCACCCAUCCAUGGAUGAGAUGGGCUGCUUCUGCUCUAAGCUCCCUAACAGUGGGCUCCCGUGUGCUUAGAUGCUGCCAUUUAGCUCUCCUUCCGGUAAACCCCUGAAGGAAGCCAGUGGUUCAAGUGGAGACUGAAUGCUAACCUGAUAGUUAGAUGCCCUGUAUUUUCAAGGUAGACCAUUAUUUCAAACUGUUCACCAGAUCCCUUGCAGAAUGGGAGCUACAGGACUGUGACUGUCCUCUGCUGGUUUGCAGAUAGCGGUGAUCUUAUAUUCUACCAUGGUCCCCUCUGGCUGUGAGUCCUUUCUGCCCACCAAACAUACAUUUGCUGUGCUCCAUAUCACUGUUUUUCCUGAAUACUUCCAAAAGCUAGGCUUUUCCUUGAUACAAGGCAAAAAAUCCCCAAUCAACGGCUAUAUAUUUUAAAAAGUCAAAAGAUAGAUUGUUCAGUUGACAAUAUGUCAUUUCAUUAUUUGUUACUUAGGUGCUUCUUAAUCUGAUUUUCCUGUUUCAUAUUUUUCCUGCACUGUAAAGUUUGGUUCUCAUUCUUUGGUUUUGGUCUCAGUAAUGAAAUUAGACACCAGCCAAAGUGACACAGGUCUAUCAAAUAGGUGCUGGCAUCGAGGGAUUUACUGGGCAAAGGAAUCCCUAAGCUGUACAUAAAAACAUCAAAUGGCGUAUCUGGUAAAGUAUAUGUUGACUUCAAGGGAAACAUUAUAGAACUCUUUAGAGCCUUGAGAAUGGCGAGACAUGAAUUAUGCUGAUAUAUGUCCACAUUACUGUUUCAUUGAGGAAGAUAAGGAUAAAACAGGAAAAUCAAUCAUAUUCGAGCAAUCCAGAACUACCAAAUACAUCUUCAACUGC